rnacentral:rRNA from 1 species
GACGAACGCUGGCGGCGUGCCUACUACAUGCAAGUUGAACGCAUUUUCUUUCACCGUAGCUUGCUACACCGAAAGAAAAUGAGUGGCGAACGGGUGAGUAACACGUGGGUAACCUGCCCAUCAGCGGGGGAUAACACUUGGAAACAGGUGCUAAUACCGCAUAAUUCCAUUUACCGCAUGGUAAAUGGAUGAAAGGCGCUUUUGCGUCACUGAUGGAUGGACCCGCGGUGCAUUAGCUAGUUGGUGGGGUAACGGCCUACCAAGGCUGCGAUGCAUAGCCGACCUGAGAGGGUGAUCGGCCACACUGGGACUGAGACACGGCCCAGACUCCUACGGGAGGCAGCAGUAGGGAAUCUUCGGCAAUGGACGCAAGUCUGACCGAGCAACGCCGCGUGAUUGAAGAAGGUUUUCGGAUCGUAAAACUCUGUUGUUAGAGAAGAACAAGGAUGAGAGUGGAAAGUUCAUCCCUUGACGGUAUCUAACCAGAAAGCCACGGCUAACUACGUG